UAGGGAAUCUUCGGCAAUGGGGGGAACCCUGACCGAGCAACGCCGCGUGAGCGAAGAAGGGUUUCGGAUCGUAAAGCUCUGUUGUGAAGGAAGAACGAGUGUGAGAAUGGAAAGUUCAUACUGUGACGGUACUUAACCAGAAAGGGACGGCUAACUACGUUCCAGCAGCCGCGGUAAUACGUAGGUCCCGAGCGUUGUCCGGAUUUAUUGGGCGUAAAGCGGGCGCAGGCGGUUAGAUAAGUCUGAAGUUAAAGGCAGUGGCUCAACCAUUGUAGGCUUUGGAAACUGUUUAACUUGAGUGCAGGAGGGGAGAGUGGAAUUCCAUGUGUAGCGGUGAAAUGCGUAGAUAUAUGGAGGAACACCGGUGGCGAAAGCGGCUCUCUGGUCUGUAACUGACGCUGAGGCUCGAAAGCGUGGGGAGCGAACAGG
rnacentral:rRNA from 1 species